AGUGGUUUGGAGCUAUAUGUCUCUGAGUUAAGAAGUAAAUGGAACUCGAAUCUCAAAGCUGUCUGUCAGUGAGAAAAGGCAAUGACCACAAAAGGGGAGGAAAAUCUUAAACUCCACUGAAGUCAUUAGAAAUGAUGACUUGGCACCACUCUACACAUAACAUGUUAUGCUCACCCUUCUGCUCACCCUCCUGGCUCCUGGGGUUGACAGUUUCAAUCUUCCUCAAGCAGAGCUGAAGAGGGGCGAUGACAAGUCAUCAGCACCCUGAGAUCU
rnacentral:lncRNA from 1 species